GUGAAUCAUCGAAUCUUUGAACGCAAAUUGCACUCUCUGGUAUUCCGGGGAGUAUGCCUGUUUGAGGGUCAGUUUAAAUAAAGAUCGGUGUGGUUGCUCCCUUUCGUGGUGACGCACCGGAGUUGGGUCGUCUUGCCUUCGGUUAAGUGACCUAAGAUUUUGCAUAAUUUUUAUCGAACGUAUUUAGAUGAUUGUACGUACGGUUGCGAUAUAUAAUACUAGGUGUGGUCUUCCUCAUGAUUCGCGCCUAUAAUUUUUCAUCAAAAUAACCUC
rnacentral:misc_RNA from 1 species